CGUCUUCCUUGAUCUCCAACUCAUAACCAAACAAUUUUCAGACAAGACUCAGAAACUUUUAUUAAAUUGAACACAAAAUGCCUGUUAUAAUAACAUCAAGCUUUUAUCCGAAAUCAGUACAUAAGUGAGAAUACACAGCCAAAAUGAGCCAUCAACAUAAGCAGUAUAAAUUUUAACUAACUUUCAGAUUUCUAUAUUCAAUAUGCUGAAGAAAACAAAACCAAAAGAGCAAUUUCAAUUUCACAAUUCACAGUUGAUUGGUUAUAAUCCUAUGACACGUUUGUCAUUUCUGCAGUCCUGGAACAAAAACAGAUUUCCAAACAGUGACUGGUACAUUGCUCCAAUAGCAUACAAAGAUCUAAAACCCCUGUGUGACAUUUAAAGAAAAUUUUAUGAAACGACCUCAAUUUCAUACAAUUUGGGCUGGCAUUUUUUAACUGUAUCUUUUAGCAAAGAUAGAUAUAGCUCUUGUGAAGUGGCAAAAGCAGUUUUAAAAGUUGCCAUGCCAUUCAUGAAGGGUUCUAAAGCCUCCCUUGGUUUCCCAUGAUUUUAUUCUUAAGACAGUAACUGCCUUAAAACGCAGCCUUUACAGGGAAAGCAAAAUCAGUUUUACUUCUAGAUCUAGAGCACACAUCCGGAGGACACACUUGGUCCCGGCAGAUGCAUGCACUGCUUUAAAGCACAGGCCAACAUACUCUAGAGUAAGGCAUUUCCAAGCAAACACACUCACCCAAACCCAUGCUCAACACAGGCACCUCAAAGUGAACACCAAACAAUGCAGAACCAACACAAAAUUCUUACAAGAUGACACUGAGUCACAAAACUACAGGAAGGUACUCAGGUACUGACAGAAGGCAAAACAACAGCCACUCCGAAAAGAGUUUCGUUCCCAAAAAUGCCAGAUGUGCAGCAUAGAAAUAAACUAUAUAUGCUUUGUCCUAGGAUAAUAUCACUCAUUCUGAAACAUGGAGUUACUUUUCCUUAAAAAAAAAAAUAGGUCAUGUAAAGAGUACACAAAUAACCAGUGAUAUAGAACAUUUAUUUUCACUAGUGAGGGGGUCACUUCAGCAUUCACAUAGAGUUAUGAGAGAAUCAUGAAGGCCAUUUAAAGGUUAAAAAAAAUCUGAUAAACUCUGCAUUAUUAGUUGGUAUUUAACAGUGCAGUGAGAGUUCAGCGAUUGCGAUGGGCUUACAUACUAUGGCCAUGAGAAUACCAUGAAAUGUCUAAAAAUAAACAUCUAAUUAGUAAAAAUACAUAUCUUCCUUUUAAGGGCCCAAAGGAAGCAUUCAGUUAUUUCAGAAACCAAGAACUAUAUCCAAUGAGCACAAGAAUAUAAAUCAGGAACAUUUAAAUUUCAUUUCUGAUUCAAUUUUACCCAUUGCAUCUUCAUGACCUGAAGUAAGUAGCUUAAAUUCUG
ensembl:lncRNA